AUGGAGAAUCAUGCUAAAUCCGUGCGCCAGCUGGAGCCAUGGCGGUAACUCGCCGGAAAAGUUGUGAUGGUCACCGGAGCUUCAUCAGGAAUCGGCCGAGAUUUCUGCUUGGAUUUAUCAAAAGCUGGUUGUAGAAUCAUCGCCGCCGCUCGUCGAAUCGAUCGAUUGAAAUCUCUAUGUGAUGAUAUCAACGGAAUCAGCUCGAAUUCCUCGAAUGGAUCGAAGAAGUCGAGUCAGGAACUGCGAGCCGUAGCGAUUGAGCAUGACGUUAGCGCGAAUGGUUCCGCCAUUGAAGCCGCCGUACAGAAAGCUUGGGACGCCUUUGGACGUAUCGACGCUUUGGUUAAUAACGCCGGUAUUCGAGGCAGUGUGCAUUCUCCACUGGAUUUAUCAGAGGAGGAAUGGGAGAAUACCUUUAAAACGAACCUAAGAAGGGCAUGGCUGGUGACCAAAUACGUUUGUAUACAUAUGCGCGCUGCCAAUCAAGGAGGAUCUGUUAUUAAUAUCUCUUCUAUCGCUGGUCUUAAUCGUGGCCAAUUACCAGGGUGUCUUGCUUAUGCCUCUUCAAAGGAAGCUCUCAACAGCAUUACAAAGAUGAUGGCCCUCGAAUUGGGAGCAUACAAGAUCAGAGUGAACUCAAUAUCACCAGGACUAUUCAAAUCUGAGAUAACAGAGGGUCUUAUACAAAAAAAAAACUGGCUUCAAAACAUUGAAUUGAGAACCAUUCCUUUGAGAACACAUGGAACAUCAAAUCCUGCUUUGACUUCAGUAGUGCGUUAUUUAAUCGACGAUUCCUCAGAAUAUGUUUCAGGUAACAUGUUCAUAGUAGAUGCUGGAGCUACUUUACCAGAUGUCCCAAUUUUGUCAUCCCUCUAGUCAUAGAGGAAAUCAAA